rnacentral:tRNA from 1 species
UCUGGGUUGGCUCAGUGGUUAGAGCUUAGGUCUCGUAACCGAAAGGUCGCGGGAUCGAAUCCACCUAGAG